UCUGUGAUGCGGGAAGGAUGAGGGGCAGCGGAUUGCUUCUGUGCAGCGGCGAGGUUGAGAGGCGGAGAGAUUGGUUCUGUCCAAAGGCGAGACUGAGGGGCGACACAAAGAUUGGAUGGCGACGAUAAAUAGAAAGAUAGAGAGAGGUUGAGGUGGAGGAACAGAUGGCAAUGAGAGAGUACUGCGUGAAUCCAGACAGCGCGAGAGUGACCACCAGAGGCCGGCCGCAGUCUGCAGAAAGAUCGCAA
rnacentral:misc_RNA from 1 species